ensembl:lncRNA
AUGUCCUGGCUAUCCUGGGGGGCUGUUCCCGCCCAGCCGCGGGUCCCGGCGGUCCUGGGGGCAACGGAAUGCCGGGGGACAUCGGGAAGGGCAGUGCCAGCAGGUCAGGGGAGGGUCCUGUCCCUCUGGCCUGCCCAGCUGAGGCACAUCUGGAGUGCUGUGUCCAGGUCUGGGCUCCUCGGGACCAGAGAGCUCCUGAGCACGUCCAGAGGAGGCCAUGGGGGUGCUUUGGGGUCUGGAGCACUUCCCAGGCUGAGGGUGCUGGGUCUGGUUCGUCCGGAGAGAAGACUGAGAGAGAACCUCAUCAAUCCACACAAAUCUCCCAAAUACCCACACAAACCCCUCAAACACCCACCCAAAUAUCUCAAAUAUUCACACAUAUCACUCAUCUCACAGGGAAUCCCACCAAUCCGCGCAAAAACCCCACCCAGCCCCACAAAUCUCUCCCCGGGGUGUCAGGAUGGUGCCCAGGAGGUCUGGCCACGAACCAAACACAAAUCCCAGCUCAGCACGAGGCAGAGCUGCUCCCCACGGAGGGGCCAAGCCCCGGGACAGGUCACCCGGCCGUGUGUCACCUCUGCAGGUGGCACCGCCUGGGCGGGGGGUAGGACCGGCACGUCUCCAGAGGGUCCUUCCCACCGCGACCGCUCCGGGAUUCCGGGAUUCCCUGUGGGCACACCCGCGUGCGCGACAGCUCCGUGCCCUCCCGUGUCCGCGACACCGGCGCACACGCACGGCGAUGUCACACCCGCACGGAGAUGUCACACCCCGACACACACACAGAGACACCCCCGCCCCCCGCCCGCAGCUGCCGCUGCCCCGGGCCAUUGUCCCGCCCGUGCCAGGAGCCGCCGGCACCGAUCGCCGCCGCUGCCCCCCCGCCCCGGCCCCGCCGCGGGAUCCCGGAGCUCUGCUGGACCGGGAGAGCCGAUCCCGGGAUCUCCCCCCCGUGCAUCCCGGUGUCUCCCAUCUGUCCCAGGUGCGCCGGAGCCCGGGCGAGCUCCGGGGAACGCGCCGGAGCCCGGGACUCCCUUGACCCUCCUCCCCGCUCCCGGAGCACAGGGACCGCCGGGAAGCCCCGAAAGCUUCAGACCCCGGGACCCCUCGGAGCGCGGGGACCCCGCGGGACUCCGCCGGGAUCUCCCGGAAAGCUCCAUAGGACCGGCACCACCUGGGACACCGGGAAUACCGGGACUCCCCCCCCAUCCCCCCCCCCGCAAGGCUCCGGCGCAUUGGGGCCCCCCGAGACUUCCCGGACCCCUCGAAAGGCUCCGGAGCCCGGGAUCCCCCAAGACCCCCGGGAGUGCCGGGACCCUCCAGAAACCUCGGACCCUCCGGAUCCCCCGGGACCCCCGGGACCCCCGCCCAUGUUCCGGCGGGACGAGCGCAGCCGCGCCACGGUGGCGCGGGGGUCAGCGCUGGACAUGGAACUGCGCCGGGGCCGCUGCUGUCCCCCGGCCCCGGCCUCGCAGGUACGGGAGCACCGGGAGCAGCGGGAUCGGCCCGGGCACGAGGCCACGGGGGCGGCCGCUCCCUGCCCCCCGGGCCCCCCGGCCCGUCCCGCUGCCCCGGCCCAGCCGGGAAUUCCGGUGGGAUCCGGCACAGCGGGAAGCGCCCGCGCCCCCGGCACCCGACGGGGAGGGAGACUGGGAGGACUGGGAGAGACUGGGUGGGACUGGGGGUCGGGGAGGGGACAGGGCGGCUGGGGCGGCUCGCGGUGCCGGGGAGGGGGCGCGGGCAGGUGGCACAGAGGGACAGGGCGUGCAGGGGACACGGGGCACUUGGGGGGUCCUGGUUCAUUUGGGGGCUCCUGGUUCAGCCCAAACCAGCUGCGUUUGGGGGGCGCAGUGCGUAUGGGUGGGGUCCUGGCAUCUUUCUGGGGGGUCCCAGUUCCCGGGAGGAUCUAGGUGGAUACUGGGGGUCCCAGUUCACCCGGUACCAGCUGCAUUUUGGGGGUCCCAGUGCACUGUGGGGGUCUUGGUGCGUUCGGGGGUUCCAGUUCACCCAGUCCCAGCUGCCCACUGA